CCCUAAAGGUAAUCUCAACCCAUCCCCUUUGGCGGCCUUCAAUCUAAUUAAAGGAACUUGUUGUUUGAUCGAUGAUACGCGAUACUUUUAGCUUAGACCUAAUUUUUAUACCGCCGUCCAAAGGAUAAAAUUAAAUAUUUUAUACGUCCCAUACCACUCAAGUAAAAAUGUCAGGUCAAGGUGAAGUCAAUGUUUAAGUUUCAAUGAGUUAUCAAUAAAAAUAAUUUAUGGACUUUUGUUUAAAAACAAAAAUCGAAUUAAGAUUUAAAAGUAUUUUCAGUUCAAUACACUAAAAAGAAUAAGCAAAAAAGGUGUACAUAUCGCCCGUCGCCCUCGUCCAAAGAUGAGGUAAGUCGUAACACAGUUAAUAUACUGGAAAGUGUAUUAAGCGUAACAGUUCCAAGCUGUUAGUAUUUCACUUACACUGAAAAGAUUCCAUUUACUUUUGUAUGAACCCCCUUAUUCACAAAAUCUUUGCACUCAUUCAUCUCUAACUCAACACUUUAAAAACUGAAAAGGAUAAUCAUAAUAUAGUCCAAGUAAAUUAAUGUACCUUUUGUAUCAGGGAUUCUCAAAUCUCCUCAAUAUACGUCUGACUCCCGAAACAAAACGAACUUUGCAUUUUAGUAAAAGUUAUGUCAUAAACAAUAUAAAUUUUUCAAAGUUGAGAUAUUCUUUUCAAGUUUUCCUAUAUCUGGUUCACUUUUCACCAACUCUUCUCCCUGGUCCAAAGAAUAAGCUUUGGAUCAAGCUUAUCAUCUUCUCGUUUUCUAAACCCAGAUUUAAUAGUAUCCACACUGUUUUCAAACUCCAUAUCUUAACACAGUCAAGCAAAAUCACUCCCAAGUGAAUCACCCCAUUAACAUCACAAUGAAAAUAUCAGUAAAAUUUCCUCCUUCUUCAAUCCUUUGAACUUAGCUCCCCCAACCAUAAGCUUACCCUGAUUUUAUGAACUAGGCCCACAAUCAAUUGACUGUUUAUCAAAAACAUAGCUAAUAGAUUUCAAUUACUAGUAGUACCUGCUCAAUGAGAAAUAAAUAGCCGCAAA
rnacentral:rRNA from 1 species